AUGUGUAACGUUACCAAACUGUUGCCUCGGCGGGGUCACGCCCCGGGUGCGUCGCAGCCCCGGAACCAGGCGCCCGCCGGAGGAACCAACCAAACUCUUUCUGUAGUCCCCUCGCGGACGUAUUUCUUACAGCUCUGAGCAAAAAUUCAAAAUGAAUCAAAACUUUCAACAACGGAUCUCUUGGUUCUGGCAUCGAUGAAGAACGCAGCGAAAUGCGAUAAGUAAUGUGAAUUGCAGAAUUCAGUGAAUCAUCGAAUCUUUGAACGCACAUUGCGCCCGCCAGUAUUCUGGCGGGCAUGCCUGUCCGAGCGUCAUUUCAACCCUCGAACCCCUCCGGGGGAUCGGCGUUGGGGAUCGGGACCCCUCACACGGGUGCCGGCCCCGGAAUACAGUGGCGGUCUCGCCGCAGCCUCUCCUGCGAGUAGGUUGCACAACUCGCACCGGGAGCGCGGGCGUCCACGUCCGUAAACAGCCACUUUCUGAAAUGGCGACCUGGAUCAGGUAGGAAUACCCGCGAAAUAAAGCUAUCAUAGGCGGGGAGAAA
rnacentral:rRNA from 1 species